GACCCUGCAGCCCAAAUUAACAAAAUCUAUUUCCAACUUUUACAAAGACCUAAAAACAAGAACUGCUCCAUGUAUUAUCAGAAUUAUUUGAUUGAAUUUAUUGUGAGAAUGUGGAGUUGGGUUGCACAAGGAUGAGAUGAGACAUUGGGUGGGAGAAGGUUUUGUGGAUUUUUGUUUUCAUGUUUGGGCUGGAAGGUCAAUUUUACUGGUCCAUGAAGUUAUGUGAUCCCCAGUUUUACUAGUGGAAGCAAAACUUAACUUUCUUGUAAAGUUUUAGACAGCACUGAAGGAAGGUGUUGAUGAUUCUAAUAUAUUUAUAUAUCAUUUUUGACUUUUGAAGGUUGCUAACACAUUUAAAAUUUUUCAGCUAACUCAUGAAGCUUGCAAGAAGAUUCCAUCUUGGAAAAUAACCAACUCAAUGACAACUGAUGCCAAGGUACUUCAGGUGCAAAAAGAAGAAGGGAUAGAUGUAUGGUACCUGGAGAAAUAGGCGGUGGAGAUGUUGUUGCUCCUCGGUACUGAAAUUUGGAAAGGCACUGCAGAAUCCCUACACCAACACGAGUUUACUAUCCCAGCUUUGACACCUGUUACUGCCACCAGUAAUUUCUUUUUUAUCAGCGGAUACUUUUCCAAUGUCAAGUAUGCUUCACGAUUGUUUGGUGCUAGGGAGAUAAAAGAAGCAACAAAACCAACAUAAAUUUGAAGGCAUAAAUACACUAUGACAAUGGCUCUACUUGAUGCAAAGAUAUGGUGACAACACUAAAAUUCCUAGCUGCCCUCUUCGAAGCUUCUCCAAGGGAAUUCCAACCAUGCCAUCUUGGUUUAAGCAUCCUACAUAAACUCGUGUCUUGGUCCUAGUGGUAGAGAGGCUUCCGGUUCAAAGUGGUUGGCCUACGUCCUCAUCUCCAUUUGGAAAGGAUCAUGACCUAGAAGAAGGAAUAUGUUCACCAUUACAAGAAAAGAGUUCCCACAAAAUUGAAGGACAAGGUCAAGGAUUUGAGACAUACUCUCAGCAUGAAGAAACAUAAUCAGGAUGUUAGCACCACACCCAUCUUGGGAUGUCAGGUUGGAUGAUGAUAAAGUUGAAGAAGAUGCUGUUUUCUUUGGAGCCCCAACAUUGAAUCAAAGCUGGCUCCUGAGGGGUUCAAGGAAAACCACCAUACAUAAUCCAAGAGCAAUACAUAAGAAUUUCGGGAAGCAUGUUUUGUCAAUCACUAUCAUUCUUAGUGUUAAAAAGAAAAACAGAUGCCUACAAGUCUUAGAGGACAUUAACUGUAACUGCAACUGCAACUGAAAAUUUGGCAUCAGCUUUUGCUGUGGUAUCAGAAAUUCAGAGUGCUAUUCACAAACUUAUUAUAUGCCAGACUCACUGCAUACCGACGUUUUCCUUCAGAAUUUGGCAGUAAAGGACUGUCCUGAUCUGAGGUCUUUGCCAGGUGUCCCAUCCAUAAUAAGGUGUGGUAUUGAAGAACCACCCAAUGGGAUACAGUGUUAUACCUCUCUUCUUCAAUAUAUGGAGAAUGGGAAUUGUGUGGGUUCUACUUCCAUUCAACACUACCACCCCUUCCUCCAAAAGCUCAAAUUGUGUGGGUCGUCUAUGCAGGCUAUAGUCCACUCUCUCCUGGUCCUGGACCAAAUUCAAUACUUCAUUGCCCUUAAAAUUCUGUGGAUGGAGAAUUUUCAUGAAAUGGUAGCUUUGCCAGAGUGGUUGGGCAAUCUUUCCUCUCUUCAAAAGCUGUAUAUUGUGGAUUGCGAGAAGCUGAUGUAUCUGCCCACUGAGCAAGCCAUGCAAUGCCUCACCGAAUUGGAAAAGCUGAUGAUUUAUGAUUUCCCCAAACUAAAAAAUGAGCAGUCCAAGAUUAACCACAUUCCACUGGUUCAAAUAAAUACUCAGUACUAUUCAAAUUUUUGUCUCUGCAAAUCGUCACGAGACUUAAGAAGUUGCUAAAAGUAUUGUUUACUUGUAUAAUUUAGGUUGACCACAUUCCAGUUGUUGAAAUAGCUGAAUCUGUUACCAAUUUGUCUUGCUUCUAUUCAAUUUCAGUUUGCUAAGCUAUUUUCUUUCUGAAAUUUUUUCAAAAUUGAAAUUUUCUGGACAUUGGGAAAUUUGGAAUAUUGGAUUCAUCAUUGGUAGAGCUUGUUUUAUGUCCACAUGCUCAUUCUUUCUCUCGGGAUUUUUUACCCUAAUGUGGGGAAAAAAAAGACGAGAAAAUUGAUAUAACACCUUAUUUUUUGCUUUUAA